GAUGAACGCUGGCGGCGUGCCUAAUACAUGCAAGUCGAGCGAACAGACGAGGAGCUUGCUCCUCUGACGUUAGCGGCGGACGGGUGAGUAACACGUGGAUAACCUACCUAUAAGACUGGGAUAACUUCGGGAAACCGGAGCUAAUACCGGAUAAUAUAUUGAACCGCAUGGUUCAAUAGUGAAAUACGGUUUUGCUGUCACUUAUAGAUUGAUCCGCGCCGCAUUAGCUAGUUGGUAAGGUAACGGCUUACCAAGGCUACGAUGCGUAGCCGACCUGAGAGGGUGAUCGGACACACUGGAACUGAGACACGGUCCAGACUCCUACGGGAGGCAGCAGUAGGGAAUCUUCCGCAAUGGGCGAAAGCCUGACGGAGCAACGCCGCGUGAGUGAUGAAGGUCUUCGGAUCGUAAAACUCUGUUAUUAGGGAAGAACAAAUGUGUAAGUAACUAUGCACGUCUUGACGGUACCUAAUCAGAAAGCCACGGCUAACUACGUG
rnacentral:rRNA from 1 species